UUUAUUUUCACAACCACGGACCACCUUGUAACGGGCGGUUCCGAAACUGACGCGAUGGUAAGAAUGGUGAAUGCCACCGCCAUCACCACCACAUCGCCACCGCUGCUGAAAAGAGAGAAUUGUAAGCACACCAAGCAUGAUUCUGUCUUUUCAUAUUGGAAGAUCCUUAUAGGGCCUAAUGAUUGGGAAGAUUAUUUGUUGAACAAGGAAGGUGUAGAGAGAUACAGGACUUGUAAUCUUCCAAAUUGCGCUUCAUGUCCAGGGAUUUAUGAGCUUGGGAUACUUGUUUCACCCCGAAGAAAAGAGGAAAAUGCUAGCAGCAAACUUAGUUUUAAAAACGUAAUUCCUGUUUAUCUUGGACAAGCUGACAAUGUUAGGACCAGAAUGCAGCAGUAUGGUCGAGAUGGUGAUCAUCUGGAGAAUGGCUUGUCAAAUGGUGAGCAAAAUGACCGGAAAGUACUUGGAUUGUUCUCUGACAUAUUCGCAUAUGGGUUUGCCAUUGCGUUUAGAUGGGCUCCGAUGGAUAGCAAGAAAGAUGCUGAGAUAGCAGAAUCCCAGCUUUUAAAAACCUUUGAUUAUGCAUGGAACAGAGGGAUGAAUGGAGAGCGUCGCCCAGGUGAUAUACAUCAAAAGCUCAGUAAUGCUGCUUCACAUACUAAAAGGGUACAUCUGAUAUUCAAGAAGCUUCAUGCCUUCCCUCCGAAGAAAGUGGGUCUAAAAAUUAAACGUUGUGACUCACCUGUGUUUGAAAAUGGGUCCAACUUCUAUACUAAUCAAAAGGACACAAAUAUCCUCUCCAGAAUUUUCAAGUUCAGCCGAUUUCGACCUACCUUAGUGUCCAAAGAGAGUUUUAUGAACAACAAUGAUGUCGAUAUAUGCGGUGUAGCAUUGGGUCAUGGUUCCAUAUGCACAAGGGCUCCGGUUGAAGGAAGAAAGAGAUGUAUGGACCACAAAGGAAUGAAAGUCAACGCGUUUGUAAAACCUCAUUUACCUACAAACAACACAGAGAUCACACCUCAUCUUACUUGUGGAGUCACUCUAGAUGAUGCUUCUUUUUGUACAAGAGUGCCCGUUGUAGGGAGAAAAAGAUGUGAGGAGCAUAAAGGCAUGAGAAUCAUUAGGAAAGAUAAACAUUAUAUACCAAGCUCUGGUUUAGAUUUGGAGUCCGGGAGAUUUCGUAAUGAGCAAAAGAGUUGUGAAGAAAAUAUCAUGGGGAUGAUGGUCAAUGGGAACAAGUCAAAGAUCUCGAGUACUGAUUUAUUGACUUGUGCGGCUAUUACAGUUAGUGGUUCAUUGUGUAAAAGGAAACCAGGUCAAAAUAGCAAGUUUUGCUGGCAACAUGAAGCAAUGAGGGGUCAUGAACAAUCACUAGCCAUAUAAAAGUUCUUCCUGUUUAACUAAAUAAGAUACUUCGUAACAUCAUAGAGUUUCAUCAUCUUCGAGAUAACAUAAUUCCAUACCGCUGCAAAAGGUAGGUCCUUUUACAAUGUUAAUGCUCACAAGAUCUAGUGCAUCCGAAUCUUCAACUCCAAAGGUAGUAAGCAGAAGCGUUGGAGCAAAUGUAUAAAUCGAUGAUGAUCACAAAAAAAUGUAUUUUAAUGUUGGCCAGGGUAAAAGGUCUUUACCCAGAACAGCUCGCAAUUAAGUUGAUUCAUCCGUUAAAAACUUGUGAAAUAAUGUCUUAGCAUAACAUUCGCUCUAUGACAAAAGUUGGUAUUGGCCAUUUCACGUUUUCAGAUUUACGAUUGCCU